rnacentral:rRNA from 1 species
CAAGUCGAACGCGAAAGAGGAGCAAUCCUCGAGUAGAGUGGCGAAAGGGUGAGUAAUGCAUUCCUACGUACCCCGAGGUCAGGGAUAGCCCAGGGAAACCUGGAUUAAUACCUGAUGUGAUUUCCGAAUCAAAGUCGCAAGACGCCUUGGGAGCGGGGAAUGUCCUAUCAGCUAGUUGGUGAGGUAACGGCUCACCAAGGCUUUGACGGGUAGCGGGUGUGAGAGCAUGGCCCGCCACAUCGGGACUGAGACACUGCCCGGACUCCUACGGGAGGCUGCAGUAACGAAUCUUCCACAAUGCGCGAAAGCGUGAUGGAGCAAUGCCGCGUGCAGGAUGAAGCCCUUCGGGGUGUAAACUGCUGUCAGGGAUUAGGAACACAAUGACCAUUCCCAAAGGAAGAGACGACUAACUCUGUGCCAGCAGUCGCGGUAAUACAGAGGUCUCGAGCGUUAGUCGGAUUCAUUGGGCUUAAAGCGUACGUAUGCGGAUAUGCAGGCGUCGUGUGAAAGCCCUCGGCUCAACCGAGGAAUUGCACGGCGAACCGCAUGUCUUGAGAUCGGUAGGGGCGGUCGGAACGAUAGGUGGAGUGGUGAAAUGCGUUGAUAUCUAUCGGAACGCCGAAGGUGAAAACAGGCCGCUGGGCCGAUUCUGACGCUGAGGUACGAAAGCGUGGGGAGCAAACGGGAUUAGAUACCCCGGUAGUCCACGCCGUAAACGAUGUGCACUAGAUCGAGGAGGAUCUGACUCCAUUCUCGGUCGAAGUAAAAACGUUGAGUGCACCGCCUGGGGAGUACGGUCGCAAGGCUAAAACUCAAAGG